rnacentral:rRNA from 1 species
UACGAAGGGGGCUAGCGUUGCUCGGAAUCACUGGGCGUAAAGGGUGCGUAGGCGGGUCUUUAAGUCAGGGGUGAAAUCCUGGAGCUCAACUCCAGAACUGCCUUUGAUACUGGCGACCUUGAGUCCGGGAGAGGUGAGUGGAACUGCGAGUGUAGAGGUGAAAUUCGUAGAUAUUCGGCGGAACACCAGUGGCGAAGGCGACUCACUGGCCCGAUACUGACGCUGAGGCGCGAAAGCGUGGGGAGCAAACAGG